UAAGGUUAAGUUAAUAAGGGCGCACGGUGGAUGCCUUGGCACUAGAAGCCGAAGAAGGACGUGACUAACGACGAAAUGCUUUGGGGAGCUGUAAGUAAGCGCUGAUCCAGAGAUGUCCGAAUGGGGGAACCCGGCAUGUAAUGCAUGUCAUCCAUGACUGUUAAGGUCAUGAGAAGGAAGACGCAGUGAACUGAAACAUCUAAGUAGCUGCAGGAAGAGAAAGCAAACGCGAUUGCCUUAGUAGCGGCGAGCGAAACGGCAGGAGGGCAAACCGAGGAGUUUACUCCUCGGGGUUGUAGGACUGCGAAGUGGGACAUAAAGUUAAUAGAAGAAUUACCUGGGAAGGUAAGCCAAAGAGAGUAACAGCCUCGUAUUUAAAAUUGACUUUAGCCCUAGCAGUAUCCUGAGUACGGCGAGACACGCGAAAUCUCGUCGGAAUCUGGGAGGACCAUCUCCCAACCCUAAAUACUCUCUAGUGACCGAUAGUGAACCAGUACCGUGAGGGAAAGGUGAAAAGCACCCCGGGAGGGGAGUGAAAUAGAACCUGAAACCGUGUGCCUACAACAAGUUCGAGCCCGUUAAUGGGUGAGAGCGUGCCUUUUGUAGAAUGAACCGGCGAGUUACGAUAUGAUGCGAGGUUAAGUUGAAGAGACGGAGCCGUAGGGAAACCGAGUCUUAAUAGGGCGUCAUAGUAUCAUGUUGUAGACCCGAAACCAUGUGACCUACCCAUGAGCAGGUUGAAGGUGUGGUAAAACGCACUGGAGGACCGAACCAGGGCACGUUGAAAAGUGCUUGGAUGACUUGUGGGUAGCGGAGAAAUUCCAAACGAACUUGGAGAUAGCUGGUUCUCUCCGAAAUAGCUUUAGGGCUAGCGUCGAUGUUAAGUCUCUUGGAGGUAGAGCACUGUUUGGGUGAGGGGUCCAUCCCGGAUUACCAAUCUCAGAUAAACUCCGAAUGCCAAGUAGAUAUAAUCGGCAGUCAGACUGCGAGUGCUAAGAUCCGUAGUCGAAAGGGAAACAGCCCAGACCACCAGCUAAGGUCCCAAAAUAAUUGUUAAGUGGAAAAGGAUGUGGGGUUGCACAGACAACUAGGAUGUUAGCUUAGAAGCAGCUAUUCAUUCAAAGAGUGCGUAAUAGCUCACUAGUCGAGUGACCCUGCGCCGAAAAUGUACCGGGGCUAAAACAAUUUACCGAAGCUGUGGAUCCCUUAGGGGAUGGUAGGAGAGCGUUCUAUGUGUGAAGAAGGUAUACCGUGAGGAGUGCUGGAACGCAUAGAAGUGAGAAUGCCGGUAUGAGUAGCGCAAGACAGGUGAGAAUCCUGUCCACCGUAAGACUAAGGUUUCCAGGGGAAGGCUCGUCCGCCCUGGGUUAGUCGGGACCUAAGGAGAGACCGAAGGGUGUAUCCGAUGGCCAACAGGUUGAUAUUCCUGUACUAGUAUGUAUAGUGAUGGAGGGACGCAGAAGGCUAACUAAAGCGUGCGACUGGAAGUGCACGUCUAAGCAGUGAGGUGUGAGAUGAGUAAAAUGCUUAUCUCUAUAACAUUGAGCUGUGAUGGGGAGCGAAAAUAAGUAGCGAAGUUAGUGAUGUCACACUGCCAAGAAAAGCUUCUAGCGUUUAAAUACAUACUACCCGUACCGCAAACCGACACAGGUAGUCGAGGCGAGUAGCCUCAGGUGAUCGAGAGAACUCUCGUUAAGGAACUCGGCAAAAUGACCCCGUAACUUCGGGAGAAGGGGUGCUGUCAGCGAUGACAGCCGCAGUGAAUAGGCCCAAGCAACUGUUUAUCAAAAACACAGCUCUCUGCUAAAUCGUAAGAUGAUGUAUAGGGGGUGACGCCUGCCCGGUGCUGGAAGGUUAAGAGGAGUGCUUAGCGUAAGCGAAGGUAUGAAUUGAAGCCCCAGUAAACGGCGGCCGUAACUAUAACGGUCCUAAGGUAGCGAAAUUCCUUGUCGGGUAAGUUCCGACCCGCACGAAAGGCGUAAUGAUUUGGGCACUGUCUCAACGAGAGACUCGGUGAAAUUUUAGUACCUGUGAAGAUGCAGGUUACCCGCGACAGGACGGAAAGACCCCAUGGAGCUUUACUGCAGUUUGAUAUUGAGUAUCUGUACCACAUGUACAGGAUAGGUAGGAGCCAUCGAGAACGGGACGCCAGUUUCGUUUGAGGCGUUGUUGGGAUACUACCCUUGUGUUAUGGCUACUCUAACCCGGAUAGGUGAUCCCUAUCGGAGACAGUGUCUGACGGGCAGUUUGACUGGGGCGGUCGCCUCCUAAAAGG
rnacentral:rRNA from 1 species